CCUACGGGCGGCAGCAGUGAGGAAUAUUGGUCAAUGGGCGAGAGCCUGAACCAGCCAAGUCGCGUGAAGGAUGACGGCCCUACGGGUUGUAAACUUCUUUUGUCAGGGAGCAAUUUGGUCCACGCGUGGGCUUAGCGAGAGUCCCUGAAGAAAAAGCAUCGGCUAACUCCUGGCCAGCAGCCGCGGUAAUACGGAGGAUGCGAGCGUUCUCCGGCUUUAUUGGGUUUAAAGGGUGAGUAGGCGGAAUAUCAAGUCAGCGGUAAAAAUUCGGGGCUCAACCCCGUCGUGCCGUGGAAACUGAUGUUCUUGAGUGGGCGAGAAGUAGGCGGAAUGCGUGGUGUAGCGGUGAAAUGCAUAGAUAUCACGCAGAACUCCGAUUGCGAAGGCAGCAUACCGGAGCCCAACUGACGCUGAAGCACGAAAGCGCGGGUAUCGAACAGGAUUAGAUACCCGGGUAGUC
rnacentral:rRNA from 1 species